rnacentral:rRNA from 1 species
AUUGAACGCUGGCGGCAGGCUUAACACAUGCAAGUCGAGCGGAGAUGAGGUGCUUGCACCUUAUCUUAGCGGCGGACGGGUGAGUAAUGCUUAGGAAUCUGCCUAUUAGUGGGGGACAACAUUCCGAAAGGAAUGCUAAUACCGCAUACGUCCUACGGGAGAAAGCAGGGGAUCUUCGGACCUUGCGCUAAUAGAUGAGCCUAAGUCGGAUUAGCUAGUUGGUGGGGUAAAGGCCUACCAAGGCGACGAUCUGUAGCGGGUCUGAGAGGAUGAUCCGAGACACGGGGACUGAGACACGGCCCAGACUCCUACGGGAGGCAGCAGUGGGGAAUAUUGGACAAUGGGGGGAACCCUGAUCCAGCCAGGCCGCGUGUGUGAAGAAGGCCUUAUGGUUGUAAAGCACUUUAAGCGAGGAGGAGGCUACUGAGACUAAUACUCUUGGAUAGUGGACGUUACUCGCAGAAUAAGCACCGGCUAACUCUGUGCCAGCCGCCGCCGUAACAC